UUUCCGUAGGUGAACCUGCGGAAGGAUCAUUUCCGAACAAAACACCAUAUCAACCAACCAUGUGAAAAAUCAUUGUCUUUACUGGAGGGUGGUGGUUUGCUUGAACGUGCAUGUGGCUUCGGUCAUGUGUACUGCUUGAGCUUUCUCUCCAGGGGUUUUUUUUUCCAAAAAAAAGAUCCCAGCCCUCCAGGCCUUGAUGAACUACCUUGUAACAAAGGUUGAUUUUAUAUCGUUUUUUCGAUUAAGAAAGUAAAUGAUAUGACAACUUUUAACGGUGGAUCUCUUGGCUCGU
rnacentral:misc_RNA from 1 species